rnacentral:piRNA from 1 species
UACUAAGUCCCUUGGUCUUGUAGCUGGU